UACAGAGGUCUCAAGCGUUGUUCGGAUUCAUUGGGCGUAAAGGGUGCGUAGGCGGCGCGGUAAGUCGGGUGUGAAAUUUCGAGGCUUAACUUCGAAACUGCAUUCGAUACUGCCGUGCUUGAGGACUGGAGAGGAGACUGGAAUUCCUGGUGUAGCGGUGAAAUGCGCAGAUAUCAGGAGGAACACCGGUGGCGAAGGCGGGUCUCUGGGCCGAUGACUGACGCUGGAGGAGCGAAAGCGUGGGGAGCGAACAGG
rnacentral:rRNA from 1 species